GCAACUUUAGCUCAGUUGGGAGAGCGUCAGACUGAAGUACACUUCGUCUUGCACAUCAUUCCUGUCCCUCCUUGUGGAGGCAGGGAUCUGUGAUCUGAAGGUCACCCGUUCGAUCCGGGUAAGUUGCA